GCCCCCCUGACUCUGGGAUAACCAGCCCGGAAAACGGUUUGCUUAAUACCGGAAUAUGCAUCCAUGGCCCGCAUGGUCUGUGGUGGGAAAAGAUUUUUCGGGUUGGGGAUGGGCUCGCGGCCUAUCAGCUUGUUGGUGAGGUAGUGGCUCACCAAGGCGUCGACGGGUAGCCGGCCUGAGAGGGUGACCGGCCACACUGGGACUGAGACACGGCCCAGACUCCUACGGGAGGCAGCAGUGGGGAAUAUUGCACAAUGGGCGGAAGCCUGAUGCAGCAACGCCGCGUGAGGGACGACGGCCUUCGGGUUGUAAACCUCUUUUAGCAGGGAAGAAGCGCAAGUGACGGUACCUGCAGAAAAAGCGCCGGCUAACUACGUGCCAGCAGCCGCGGUAAUACGUAGGGCGCAAGCGUUAUCCGGAAUUAUUGGGCGUAAAGAGCUCGUAGGCGGUUUGUCGCGUCUGCUGUGAAAACCCGAGGCUCAACCUCGGGCCUGCAGUGGGUACGGGCAGACUAGAGUGCGGUAGGGGAGAUUGGAAUUCCUGGUGUAGCGGUGGAAUGCGCAGAUAUCAGGAGGAACACCGAUGGCGAAGGCAGAUCUCUGGGCCGUUACUGACGCUGAGGAGCGAAAGGGUGGGGAGCAAACAGGCUUAGAUACCCUGGUAGUCCACCCCGUAAACGUUGGGAACUAGUUGUGGGGGCCUUUCCACGGUCUCCGUGACGCAGCUAACGCAUUAAGUUCCCCGCCUGGGGAGUACGGCCGCAAGGCUAAAACUCAAAGGAAUUGACGGGGACCCGCACAAGCGGCGGAGCAUGCGGAUUAAUUCGAUGCAACGCGAAGAACCUUACCAAGGCUUGACAUACACCGGAAACGGCUGGAGACAGUCGCCCCUUUUUGGUCGUUGUACAGGUGGUGCAUGGU
rnacentral:rRNA from 1 species